rnacentral:rRNA from 1 species
CGCGUAGGCGGCUUACCAAGUCCGGGGUGAAAUUUGCGGCUUAACCGUAACAGUGCCUUGGAUACUGGUAGGCUCGAGGGAGAUAGGGGUCUGCGGAACUUCUGGUGGAGCGGUGAAAUGCGUUGAUAUCAGAAGGAACGCCGGUGGCGAAAGCGGCGGACUGGAUCUCUUCUGACGCUGAGGCGCGAAAGCUAGGGGAAGGCAAACG